rnacentral:rRNA from 1 species
UACGAAGGGGGGCUAGCGUUGCUCGGAAUCACUGGGCGUAAAGCGCACGUAGGCGGAUUGUUAAGUCAGGGGUGAAAUCCUGGAGCUCAACUCCAGAACUGCCUUUGAUACUGGCGAUCUUGAGUCCGGGGAGAGGUGAGUGGAACUGCGAGUGUAGAGGUGAAAUUCGUAGAUAUUCGCAAGAACACCAGUGGCGAAGGCGGCUCACUGGCCCGGUACUGACGCUGAGG